rnacentral:rRNA from 1 species
GACGAACGCUGGCGGCGUGCCUAAUACAUGCAAGUCGAGCGGACGAAUCGAAAGCUUGCUUUUGAUUCGUUAGCGGCGGACGGGUGAGUAACACGUGGGCAACCUGCCCUGUAGACGGGGAUAACACCGAGAAAUCGGUGCUAAUACCGGAUAACACGAAAUGUCGCACGACGUUUCGUUGAAAGACGGCGCAAGCUGUCGCUACAGGAUGGGCCCGCGGCGCAUUAGCUAGUUGGUGAGGUAACGGCUCACCAAGGCGACGAUGCGUAGCCGACCUGAGAGGGUGAUCGGCCACACUGGGACUGGGACACGGCCCAGACUCCUACGGGAGGCAGCAGUAGGGAAUCUUCCGCAAUGGACGAAAGUCUGACGGAGCAACGCCGCGUGAGCGAAGAAGGCCUUCGGGUCGUAAAGCUCUGUUGUUAGGGAAGAACAAGUAACGCAGUAACUGGCGUUACCGUGACGGUACCUAACGAGAAAGCCACGGCUAACUACGUG